rnacentral:rRNA from 1 species
UACAGAGGGGGCAAGCGUUGUUCGGAAUUACUGGGCGUAAAGGGCGCGUAGGCGGCCUUCUAAGUCGAACGUGAAAUCCCCGGGCUCAACCCGGGAACUGCGUCCGAUACUGGAAAGCUUGAAUCCGGGAGAGGGAUGCGGAAUUCCAGGUGUAGCGGUGAAAUGCGUAGAUAUCUGGAGGAACACCGGUGGCGAAGGCGGCAUCCUGGACCGGUAUUGACGCUGAGGAGCGAAAGCCAGGGGAGCAAAGCGGGAU